rnacentral:ncRNA from 2 species
AAUAUAAAAUCAGGUGCUGGUUAUGCAUUACUAGAAAAUGUGUGAAUCAGUGAAAAGGGAAGACGGGUGAAAAUCCCGCGCGGUCACGCCGCUGUAAAAGUGGAGUUCUCCAUAGAUACCACUGGGAAACUGGGAAGGUUUGGAGAAUGAUGAUGCUUGAGCCAGAAGACCUGCCUGCAUUUUUAACACCAU